rnacentral:rRNA from 1 species
AAUUACUGGGCGUAAAGCGCACGCAGGCGGUUGGAUAAGUUAGAUGUGAAAGCCCCGGGCUCAACCUGGGAAUUGCAUUUAAAACUGUCCAGCUAGAGUCUUGUAGAGGGGGGUAGAAUUCCAGGUGUAGCGGUGAAAUGCGUAGAGAUCUGGAGGAAUACCGGUGGCGAAGGCGGCCCCCUGGACAAAGACUGACGCUCAGGUGCGAAAGCGUGGGGAGCAAACAGGAUUAGAUACCCUGGUAGUCCACGCCCUAAACGAUGUCAACUGGUUGUUGGGUCUUCACUGACUCAGUAACGAAGCUAACGCGUGAAGUUGACCGCCUGGGGAGUACGGCCGCAAGGUUGAAGCUCAAAUGAAUUGACGGGGGCCCGCACAAGCGGUAAUCGAA